UGUCGCAAGACACUUGUAAAGUGGCGAACGGGUGAGGAAUACAUGGGUGACCUACCCUCGAGUGGGGAAUAACCAGCCGAAAGGUUGGCUAAUACCGCGUACGCUUCACGGUUUGCGGAUCGGGAAGGAAAGCGAUGCCAUGGGUAUCGCGCUCAAGGAUGGGCUCAUGUCCUAUCAGCUUGUUGGUGAGGUAAUGGCUCACCAAGGCUUCGACGGGUAGCUGGUCUGAGAGGACGAUCAGCCACACUGGCACUGCGACACGGGCCAGACUCCUACGGGAGGCAGCAGUAAGGAAUAUUGCGCAAUGGGCGACAGCCUGACGCAGCGACGCCGCGUGGGGGAUGAAGGUCUUCGGAUUGUAAACCCCUUUCGGGAGGGAAGAUGGAACGGGCAACCGUUCGGACGGUACCUCCAGAAGCAGCCACGGCUAACUUCGUGCCAGCAGCCGCGGUAAUACGAAGGUGGCAAGCGUUGUUCGGAUUUACUGGGCGUACAGGGAGCGUAGGCGGUUGGGUAAGCCCUCCGUGAAAUCUCCGGGCCUAACCCGGAAAGUGCGGAGGGGACUGCUCGGCUAGAGGAUGGGAGAGGAGCGCGGAAUUCCCGGUGUAGCGGUGAAAUGCGUAGAGAUCGGGAGGAAGGCCGGUGGCGAAGGCGGCGCUCUGGAACAUUUCUGACGCUGAGGCUCGAAAGCGUGGGGAGCAAACAGGAUUAGAUGCCCUGGUAGUCCACGCCGUAAACGAUGGGCACUAGGUGUUCGGGGUAUUGACCCCCUGAGUGCCGCAGCUAACGCAUUAAGUGCCCCGCCUGGGGACUACGGCCGCAAGGCUAAAACUCAAAAGGAAUUGACGGGGGGCCCGCACAAGCGGUGGAGCAUGUGGUUUAAUUCGACGCAACGCCGAAGAACCUUACCUGGGCUCGAAAUGCUAGUGCCAUCCCAUGAAAAGUGGGGCUUCUCGCAAGAGACGCUAAGUAUAAGGUGCUGCAUGGGUUGCCGCCAGCUCCGUGUCGUGAGAAUGUUGGGGUUAAGUCCCCGCAACCAAGCCGCAACCCUUUGCCUUUUAGUUUGCCAUCCGGGGUCAAGCCCGGGCACUCCUAAAAGGGACGUUCCAGGGGGUUACCCACCUUGGCUACAAUUGGGUCGCCCACAGAAGGGCGGAAACCCCCCAAGGGCGGAAAAACAAUCCCCCUAAAAAACGGACCCUCAUUUUCUGAAAUCAGAAAGGUGCGAAACUCCGCCCUUCCUUGGAAAACCGGGAGAUUUGGCUAAGGAAUACCCGUUAUUUCACACCACAAACCCGGGGGAAAAUUCACGGGCGCGGGGGUUGGUUUGUCCUCGACCCCACGACACCAAAGCGAAAUUUUCCCUU
rnacentral:rRNA from 1 species